AGACCCGAAACCGGGCGCUACCCAGGGGCAGGAUGAAGCGAAAGUAAAAUUUCGUGGAGGUGCGAACCCACGAGCGUUGAACAGCUCGGGGAUUACUUAUGGGUAGCGGUGAAAUUCCAGUCGAGACCGGAGAUAGCUGAUUCUCCCCGAAAUAGCUUUAGGGCUAGCCUCAAGGUGAGAGAUACGGAGGUAGAGCACUGAAUGUCCUAGGGGGUAUUGCACCUACCGAAGACUAUCAAACUCCGAA
rnacentral:rRNA from 1 species